GACAGAGGGUGCAAACGUUGUUCGGAAUUACUGGGCGUAAAGCGCGUGUAGGCUGCUCUGCAAGUCGGAUGUGAAAGCCCCGGGCUUAACCUGGGAAUGGCAGUGAGGACUGGAUGGCUGGAGUGUGGCAGAGGGGGGUGGAAUUCCACGUGUAGCAGUGAAAUGCGUAGAGAUGUGGAGGAACACCGAUGGCGAAGGCAGCCCCCUGGGCUAACACUGACGCUCAGGCACGAAAGCGUGGGGAGCAAACAGG
rnacentral:rRNA from 1 species